rnacentral:rRNA from 1 species
CGGAUUUGGCGGCAAGAUAGCUUUUUAGAGGAACCUGCCCUGUGAACGAUGAUCCACGAGAGCCUUACUUUAUUUUGAAAUCAGUUUGUAUACCGCUGUUGUCAGUUAGAUUUUUGAGAAUAUUUUCUUUUUGGUAAAGCCAAUGACUUCAAGUAAAGGUGCAGCUUAUAGUAAAGUUAGAGGUGGGUUACAUUUAUUAGAAUAAGACGGAUUAAGGAUUUAAUUGACUUAUGAAGGUGGAUUUAACCGUAAA